rnacentral:rRNA from 1 species
UACGUAGGGAGCAAGCGUUGUCCGGAAUCAUUGGGCGUAAAGCGCGCGUAGGUGGCCCCGUAAGUCCGCUGUGAAAGUCAAAGGCUCAACCUUUGAAAGCCGGUGGAUACUGUGGGACUAGAGUACGGAAGAGGCGAGUGGAAUUCCUGGUGUAGCGGUGGAAUGCGCAGAUAUCAGGAGGAACACCGGUGGCGAAGGCGGUUCUCUGGGCAUGUCCUGACGCUGAGGAGCGAAAGUGUGGGGAGCGAACAGG